rnacentral:misc_RNA from 1 species
UACGGAGGGUGCAAGCGUUAAUCGGAAUUACUGGGCGUAAAGCGUGCGUAGGCGGCUUGUUAAGUCGGAUGUGAAAGCCCUGGGCUCAACCUGGGAAUGGCAUCUGAGACUGGCCGGCUAGAGUGCAGUAGAGGGGUGUGGAAUUCCCGGUGUAGCGGUGAAAUGCGUAGAUAUCGGGAGGAACAUCAGUGGCGAAGGCGGCACCCGGGACUGACACUGACGCUGAGGUGCGAAAGCGUGGGGAGCAAACAGG